rnacentral:lncRNA from 1 species
AAAAUUUGGCCUUGUUUUUAGGCUUUUUCACUUAUGAGCCUUGUUGGCACAUUUGUAGCUUUUUAUUUAAAUCCUUGUUGGCCAAAUAAAUGGCCUUGUAUUUAGAGAGGAUAUGGCCAAUUGUUGGCCAAGCAUUUCUUUCUUGUCUUCCUAUAUAAUGAGCACUCUCUGCUCAUUUUCAAGACACACCAACAAAAUUUGAUUUAUUCAUUUCUUGUUUCUCAUCCUCCUCCUUUAAUAAUUAAGAUUAUUUUGUAAGAGAGUAAGUUUUGGGAAACACUUGUGUGAACCUUUUCUUUGGAGUGAUCUUGUGAGGUUAUUCUCUUGGGGUAUUUGGGACUAUUAGAGUAUUUACUCUAAUUUUGUACUCUCUUUUGUACUCUUGUUUGUAUAGUAAAAUUGUUUCUCUCCGCUUGUGGACGUAGGUCUUCUUGACCGGACCACGUUAAAUCUGUGCCUUCUUUAUCUGCUUUAAUUACUGUUAUUAUCAACUUGUAUUGUCUUUGUUAUUGUCAUUAUAACGUUGUUUGGCUAAAUUCUGCACUACCCGGAUGUCCGAUCCUAACAUUGUGAAUGAGACUUAUUAUUUCACUUGAAAUGAUUGGCAAAUAAAAUUUCAUAUUUCAUCGAUAUUUCAAAUUUGAAGUGGGUAAACUUCGACUUGCAAAUGAUGACUUUAAUUAAGUCGUGGCCAAUAAAAAAAAAGAGGUAAACCUACUUAUGGUUUUAUUUUCAUGUUGAAUUGGUCUUAUGGAGCGUCUAUUUGAUAAAAUAGAAAAGUAUUCCAAAGUAAAACUAAUCGACAUUCGAAUUUCUUUAGGCAUAAUGGUACUCUCUAUUGCUCGUUUCCGCAGUUUCUAAGGAGAUUGAAAUCCGAAAAUGUUUUCAAUGGUUAUUUUUUUGCAUUUAAAUUAGUUUCAAUUUGGUCAUUAGAUUGAAAUUUAAGCAAAAAACACACGACUAUCAAUUUUAAUUGUGAUUUAUGUAGGUUGAUUGAAAUUAUAUGAAUUGAUUAUGCAUAGUCCAUGAUCAACACAUGCAUCAAAUGAAUUUAGAACACUAAGGAGACUUAUCAGUUGAAAAAGUGAAUAAUUGACUUGAAUUAUCCUUAGUUGAUUUUAUAACAGACCGUGAGCUAUAAUUGCGUAUUUUAGUCGCUUAUUUCACUCAAAUUUACUGCACUUUGAUUUACUUAUAAGCUUUAAUCGCUAGUGUCUUGCACUAACUAUGUGUUUUAUGCCUUAUAGGAGUGAUUUCGAGCUAUAUAGAUGCUAUGGAAUAAAUUCAAAUGCUUUGGAGCUUUGAAAUCUGAGUAAAAGCUCAGGAAAUUAAGCCGGGAUCGCGUUUGGGGGUCAACGGAUGAUAGUUAGAGCGAACGAAGAAUCGAGAAGGCAUAUUGUGCACUAUCUAGUAAAUACAUAUACCAUUUUUCUCAAAACUCCAUUUGGACUCCAAUAUAUAAUUGGAAAUCUAACUCAAAGGCCUACAACUUUCAUGUUUUAUGUUUUUCCAAAUUUCAAACGAAUAAGGGUGAAACGCACCCAGAAGUGCGAUCACGCUAGUUUUAGCGCGCCCAGGACAGAAUGUCAUCCAACUAGAGCGCCCAGGAGCACGCCCAGAUGCGCGACCGUUCUAGUCAAACCCGGAAAAAAUAUCUUUUUUCAUAUUGGAGAAGGCAUAAUUAUUUGGGUCCAACCCUACUUGGUAUAGAAAAACGGUAUUUUGGGGGAAGAGGACGUUUUUGAGAGGAAAACACAAGCAUAGAGCCGCCGUGGAGGACGGGUUUCAUCUUUUCUUCUUUCAAAUUUAGUAUUUUUUAUGUUUCUUUGUUUGAUUUGUUGUUUUUCUACCAUGUCUAUGUGGAGCUAAACUUCACGUUCUAGGGUUGUGGUUC